AAUCUGUGUUUUUAUGAGACUUCAGCACUUGCAUCUAUAGUAGUUCAAAAAAAGCAAUUAAUCAAGCCUCAUUUUCAAUUCUGUCUUCCAAUUGCGAUGUAGCCUCCGCCUCCAUUCCGCGAAGCGUUGCUAAUGUGCCAUCCUCUUCCAGUUCUUCAAUUUUGGUUUCCAUAGCCGUUUGCAUUUUGUUCGCAUCUUCAUAGACAAAAGAACCUUCCUCAUUAUACGUCCUAGCAUUAUUAAACAUUGUC